UACGUAGGGAGCAAGCGUUAUCCGGAAUUAUUGGGCGUAAAGAGCUCGUAGGCGGUUUGUCGCGUCUGCCGUGAAAGUCCGGGGCUCAACUCCGGAUCUGCGGUGGGUACGGGCAGACUAGAGUGAUGUAGGGGAGACUGGAAUUCCUGGUGUAGCGGUGAAAUGCGCAGAUAUCAGGAGGAACACCGGUGGCGAAGGCGGCAUCCUGGACCACGACUGACGCUGAGUGAGCGAAAGCCAGGGGAGCAAACGGG
rnacentral:rRNA from 1 species